UUUAAAAUUACAACAGAAUAAAAAUAAAAUCGAACUUCGUUUUAAAAAAAAAAAAAUCGAAGACCCUUUCCCCUAAAUGAUCGAUUAAUUGACAACUCAGCUACUCAUGUUUACAAAAUAAUUAAUAAGCAAUUUUAUCAUUUCCCUCUCCGGUUAAAACGCCUCUUUUUCAAUCUCCACGAUCUCCACCUUCCAUGAUCUCAACUUCCUCUAAUAACUUCUUUAAGAUCCAAUAUAAAACUUACUGUACUAACUAAUUUAUUUCUUCAAAAUUACUCGGCAAACUGUUUAUCAACAAAUUUUAUCUUUUUAUCUUCCAAAUGAUUUGGACCAAAUCUUACAACGUAAGUUUUUGUAUGUCCUACUAACUCUUUACACCUCAAACUGGAUCAUCCAUGGCCGCCUUCUUUCGAAAACAAUUGACAACCCAAUCGUUGGCGGAGACCAAAUAAAACAACUAGAUCAAACAUGUACUAGACGUCAACAACGAUGAAGACGUUGGCGAGAAACAAUAAGGAUGGACUUAGAUCUAAAAGAUUUGAUCGUCUGGAGGACGCAAAGCUCUCGCAUGAAGAGUUCGUCAUGGUCAAAACAGA